rnacentral:sRNA from 1 species
AAGGCAGAGUGGCCUCUGUGGCCAGGGAGCCGCAGGCAAGGGACUAAGGGGAGGGGGGCUCAGUGCCAGCUGCUUAAAAAUGCCCCUGUGGCAGCGAGGGGCACCAGAGGCUGGGUCUAAUUAGUUGAGAAGCAGUGACACCCCCAACCACUCCCCAAACAGGCUGGCUCCCGUCUCCAGGCCCCAAGGAGCCACACCUGGACCAGACCCCAGGAAAGGCAAGGGCGCUAGCUGGUGGGAGCCACCCCGCCAUGCUGAUGUCAGAGAAGCAAGAACUCUGGAGAAGCAGCCUCCUGGGACCAGAGGAGGGCCAGCAGCAGGCAGCCCGGAGACAGAACUCUCACCCACGCCUCUCCAAGCCUCCCAACAGAAGACAGAGGUCCCCCACAGCCAGAGACAUUUCCUGAAGACAUGGGGAACACAGAGGCAGAAACAGCCCAUCCACCCAGGAGCUGUCCCCCACACUGCCGGGAGCCGGCACCCAGAGCCGCCAGGUAAAACUGAGGCCACCUGGUUCAACAUCACCUUUCACAGAAGGGGAAGCAGCCACAGAAAGAAGGGCCUCGUUAAGAAGUGGAACCUGGGACCCCCAAGCGGUGUCUCUCAUCCUGACUGGGGAUCCAGAGUAGGAGGGAGCCUUUGGUGGGACACAAAGGAACAGAACGAGGCACCAACAGCAAGGGGCAAGCAGAUUCAAGGGCCACAGAGGAGAUGGAGGCAAACACCUUCCCCUGGUCAGAGGCUGUGCCUCAGCCCUUCUCCCUGCAUCAGUUUCUCCUUCAGAAGCAUGGGACUACCUCCCAUCUAGUUCUCGUUUCUAAACCUAGGGGAGAUGCUAUCUUUGCUGCAAUAAUCUUAGCCUACAUCUUGGAAUGGAAAUGGCCUUGGUGGAAAUGGUCUUCAACUCCUCUGGUCCAAGCUCAGGCCCUGUGACCCUGGAACAAUCCCCUUCCUGGUCCUCCACGUAGGAGCAAUAACAUUCCCUUGCCAGCAGCACCAGCCAUUCUGAUGAUUAAAUGAUAUCGGACUCUGUUUUCCAAACUCAGUCAUUCAGAUGCCCCCUAUUUUAUUUCUUCCAUGUCUGCAAAUGAUUAUAAUAUUUUUAAAUGUAGGAUGAGUCCUUUUUAUUACACAUAGAAAUAGCUACUGUAAAUAGCAAACUCUAACACUGUGCCUAAUUAGGAAAUAAAGGUAACCAUAAAUACAGUAAAAAUGAAACAA